GCCUGGGUGGCUCAGUUGGUUGAGCGGCUGACUUCGGCUCAGGUGAUGAUCUUGCGACUGGUGAGUUCGAGCCCCGCAUCGGGCU
rnacentral:tRNA from 1 species